GUUCUGUUUUACUUUCCGACACCGCACUAGAUUCAUUUUCGGGCUGCGAUGAAUCACAAACUUCCGCACCACUUUUAGAUGUUUCUGGCAUUGUUACCUGGACCGGUUUUUUAUUAAAGUUUUGAAACUGUGAAACAUAUGGCGCCAAAACAAGGUGCCAUCGAUUUUGCCUAAAUUCGCCUCGAUCUAUUUGGAUCAAAUAAGAUCUCGGUUCAUCCAAUUUUGGUCUAGUCACGACACUAGAUCGACUAUUCCUGAUCUGCCUAAAAUAGGAGUAAGUAAAUUUUUUAAAACAUAUACUUUAAGUUGAGAUUUUUUGUCUCGUUAUGUGAUUUCCAACUUUAAGGUACCGAUUACAUGUAGAGGUCGACCAUCUGGAUCCGAUAUAACAUCAUCAGGAGUUUUUAAUUUUUUUAAAAGAUGUUUUGGAAUAAGAUUUACCGGCAUGCAAGUCACAUCGGCUCCCGAGUCUACCAAAAACUUAAUUUUAUUUGAAAACCCUUCAAUUUGUAGCCUACAAAACCAUUGUGACAUUGAGUCUGAAUUUUGGUUAGAUCUAGAUCCUACCAUUAAUCCUAUAAUCCAUCUUUUUUGUUGUUUUCUUCUUCGGAUUUGAUUCAGUAGAUUCUUUCUCUACUGCCCUCAAGCUUUUGUUUUUGCAAACCUGAUAUGUCGGCGGACUGGGUUUUCGAAAGAAAACAGUAAAGUUAAUUACUUGCAGUUUAAUAUCACAAAAAUAAAGGUUCUUUAUUUUACCACGGUACCGCACGUGAAAAUGUUGUUGCCUCUUGGACACACCGGCUGAGACUAACUUUUUGGUCGGCCCGCGGUGUUGCCAAAUACACCACACUCCUCCCUCCUAGAUUUCCCUCUAGGUUGUGUAAUCCUCCAAAUAUCGUGGAGGGCGCCUUGUUCUGGCCGGCCGGGGAGUAACUGGAGUCCCUGAAACCUGCUCUGGCGUGCUCUCUUCUAAAGAGGGUCCAUCAGCAGACGGUGAAGGGAUAACGACCCUUGGAAGGAUCUCUGAGGAUUCCGCGAAUCGCGAAACGUCGUAGUUCUGACUGCCUGAGACAGGUACGGUCUCUUCGGUGAGUGUACGCGGACGAAUUUGAUCGGUAUGUCUACGUGUGAUUUUACCAUCGGGAGUUUUCACCUUGUAGCUGAGCGAUACCGUUGAUUCUAUUACCGUUGACGGUAACCACCUUUGACCGGGAGCGUAAGACCUUACAAACACAGGAUCAUUCUCUUGGAAAGAUCGAGGGGUUUCAUUAGAAGAGUAUUUGUCUUCUUGCUUGGCUGACAUUUCUUUGGUGAAAUCUGGUUGCAUACAGUCUAAAAGCGUCGCUAACUUUCGUCCCAUCAAGACUUCUGCUGGAGAUCGACCUGUUACGCUGUGGGGUGUAAUGUGCUGAGUUAGUAGGUAUCUUGACAAAGCUAGUUGGACGUUCUCGUUCCUCAUUUUCUUGAGUGCAUUUUUUACAUUUUGCAGCAUACGUUCUGCUUGUCCAUUACUACUUGGAUGGUAGGGAGCAACCAAAGCUUGACGAAUCUGGUUCGUUUUGAGGAAUUGUUGAAAUUCUUCGGAUGUAAAAGCUGUACCAUUGUCGGAGACAAUAACAUCUGCAAUGCCAUGUGUUGCAAAAAGUUCCUUCAUGACUUCGAUAGUCGCUGCACUUGACGUGUUCGGGACCAAACGAACUUCCAGCCAUUUAGAGAAUGAAUCAAUUACAAUUAAAAAUGAUUAACCAUCCAUGGGGCCUGCAAGGUCCACGUGAAGUCGUGUCCAGGGUGCACGAGACCAUUCCCAUGGAUGUACCGGAGCUUUUCUAGGCAUAUUUCGUGCUUCCUGGCACUCGGAGCAAGUUUUGAUCUUAUUUUCAAUGUCACGGUCAAGGUUUGCCCACCAAAUGUAUGAGCGAGCAAGAGCCUUCAUUUUUACCAUGUCUGGGUGUCCAGAAUGAAGAUCUUUUCCUCCCUCCUGGAGGUGUUAUGACCCUGGUUCCCCAAAACAAACAAUUGGUAACAACUGAUUUCGUUCUGUCGUUGAAAGGAAGGCUGAAAUUCGUCAGGGAAUUUAGAUCUUUCCAUCGGCCAACCUUUCCAUACCCAUUGUAAAACUUUGGAUAGAAUUGGAUCCUUGGCUGUUUCACUGGCGAUACGCUUAACAUCUACCACUCUUUCCGGGAUGUUCUCAAACAUCAAAACAUCGGGUGCAUUGGGUGGUUCUGGAGUGUUUAAUUUCUGGGGUAAACGACUAAGCACGUCGGCAUUGCCCAUUCUUGAGCCUGGAACAUGGUGUAGAUCGUAGUCAUACACUGCGAGCAUCAGAAUCCAUCUUAACAAUCUCGGAGAAAGGAUUUCUGGGAUUCCCGUCCUCGGGCUAAAAAUACCUAGGAGAGGUUUAUGGUCCGUCCGGAUGCUGAAUUUUCGUCCAUAUAGGUAAUCGUGGAACUUCUUAACUCCUACAAUGAUAGCGAGAACUUCUUUGUCCAGUUGUGAGAAAUUCCUUUCUGUUGAGGAUAAUGUGCGACUAUGGUACGCCACUGGGACCUCUCUACCGGAGUCGUCAGGUUGACUGAGGACACAUCCAACCCCAUAUGAACUAGCAUCACAACUCCGUUGGCUCCCGUCCCAGACCGCAAAUCAAUUGUUACAUGGGUCACUACAUUCAGACAAACUGCAAGUGCGACAAAACGAAGAACUGGAGUCCCUCGGCCCGUUAGAUCACCUGAGAACAUUGAAGCAGUGAGAGCUUCAAUGUCCUUGGACUAUCCGAUCGUUCUGUGAGAAGAAUUCUUCGUGAUGAUCUUCAUUUUCAUCCCUAUAAGAUGGCGAUAGUGCAGGAACUUACAGAACGUGACUUCAAUUCUCGGAUGAACGCGUGUGAGCUUCUUCUUGAUGUCGUUCCCGAGGGUGCUAUUGUUUUUUUUAGCGAUGAAGCCCAUUUUCAUUUAUGUGGGUCGGUUAACAAACAAAACAUGCGCUACUGGGCUGACACCAACCCUCGACAAUUGCAUCAAAGGCCUUUGCAUUCACCCAAAGUCACAGUGUGGUGUGCAAUUUCCUCAGCUGGAAUUAUUGGUCCCUGGUUUUUUGAGGAAAAUGAGGUUACAGUGACAGUGAAUUCGGACCGGUAUGUAAACAUGCUACAGAAUUUUUUUUCCCACGCCUAGAAGAGUUGGAUUUGGGGGACACUUGGUUCCAACAAGACGGUGCAACAGCACUCACUUCAAGAGCAUCGAUGGCUGUUUUGAGGGAACACUUUCCAGAGCGCCUUGUGAUUUUUUUCUAUGGGGUUUUUUGAAAUCCCUGGUUUAUGUGAACCGUCCAAGAAGCCUACAAGAUUUGAAGACCAACAUCGAAGAAGAAAUUGCCAACAUAACACCAGCUAUGCUAACAAGAGUCAUGACAAACGCCAGAUAUCGGUUUACGCAAUGUAUGGAGAAUGAGGGACGUCACCUAACAGAUUUGAUCUUCAAAACAAUGUAAAUAAAAACUUUAGACAUGUACCUACAUUAUAAAAAAUAAAUUAAGA